rnacentral:rRNA from 1 species
CCGGAUUUAUUGGGCGUAAAGAGCUCGUAGGCGGUUGGGUAAGUCGGGGGUGAAAACUCCAGGCUCAACUUGGAGACGCCACCCGAUACUGCUCUGACUUGAGUUCGGUAGGGGAGUGGGGAAUUCCUGGUGUAGCGGUGAAAUGCGCAGAUAUCAGGAGGAACACCGGUGGCGAAGGCGCCACUCUGGGCCGAAACUGACGCUGAGGAGCGAAAGCGUGGGUAGCAAACAGG